rnacentral:rRNA from 1 species
AAUCAGUGUGUGUGUUAGUGGAAGCGUCUGGAAAGGCGUGCGAUACAGGGUGACAGCCCCGUACACAAAAAUGCACAUAUUGUGAGCUUGAUGAGUAGGGCGGGACACGUGGUAUCCUGUCUGAAUAUGGGGGGACCAUCCUCCAAGGCUAAAUACUCCUGACUGACCGAUAGUGAACCAGUACCGUGAGGGAAAGGCGAAAAGAACCCCGGCGAGGGGAGUGAAAAAGAACCUGAAACCGUGUACGUACAAGCAGUGGGAGCACGCUUAGGCGUGUGACUGCGUACCUUUUGUAUAAUGGGUCAGCGACUUAUAUUCUGUAGCAAGGUUAACCGAAUAGGGGAGCCGAAGGGAAACCGAGUCUUAACUGGGCGUUAAGUUGCAGGGUAUAGACCCGAAACCCGGUGAUCUAGCCAUGGGCAGGUUGAAGGUUGGGUAACACUAACUGGAGGACCGAACCGACUAAUGUUGAAAAAUUAGCGGAUGACUUGUGGCUGGGGGUGAAAGGCCAAUCAAACCGGGAGAUAGCUGGUUCUCCCCGAAAGCUAUUUAGGUAGCGCCUCGUGAAUUCAUCUCCGGGGGUAG